rnacentral:rRNA from 1 species
AUAUCAAUAAGCGGAGGAAAAGAAACUAACAAGGAUUCCCCUAGUAGCGGCGAGUGAAGCGGGAAGAGCUCAAAUUUGUAAUCUGGCGUCUUUCAGGCGUCCGAGUUGUAAUCUAUAGAAGUGUUUUCCGUGCUGGACCAUGUCUAAGUCCCUUGGAACAGGGUAUCAAAGAGGGUGACAAUCCCGUACUUGACAUGACCACCAGUGCUCUGUGAUACACUCUCUACGAGUCGAGUUGUUUGGGAAUGCAGCUCAAAAUGGGUGGUAAAUUCCAUCUAAAGCUAAAUAUUGGCGAGAGACCGAUAGCGAACAAGUACCGUGAGGGAAAGAUGAAAAGCACUUUGGAAAGAGAGUUAAACAGUACGUGAAAUUGUUGAAAGGGAAACGAUUGAAGUCAGUCGUGUUCAUUGGACUCAGCCGGUUUUCGGUGUAUUUCCUUUGAACGGGUCAACAUCAGUUUUGUCCGGUGGAUAAAGGCAGGAAGAAAGUGGCUCCCUCGGGAGUGUUAUAGCUUUCUGUCACAUACACUGGAGGAGACUGAGGACUGCAGCUCGCCUUUUGGCCGGGGUUCGCCCACGUUCGAGCUUAGGAUGUUGACAUAAUG